rnacentral:rRNA from 1 species
GAUUAAGUUAUUAAGGGCGCACGGUGGAUGCCUUGGCACUAGAAGCCGAUGAAGGACGUUACUAACGACGAUAUGCUUUGGGGAGCUGUAAGUAAGCUUUGAUCCAGAGAUUUCCGAAUGGGGAAACCCAGCAUGAGUUAUGUCAUGUUAUCGAUAUGUGAAUACAUAGCAUAUCAGAAGGCACACCCGGAGAACUGAAACAUCUUAGUACCCGGAGGAAGAGAAAGAAAAUUCGAUUCCCUUAGUAGCGGCGAGCGAAACGGGAAGAGCCCAAACCAACAAGCUUGCUUGUUGGGGUUGUAGGACACUCUAUACGGAGUUACAAAGGACGACAUUAGACGAAUCAUCUGGAAAGAUGAAUCAAAGAAGGUAAUAAUCCUGUAGUCGAAAAUGUUGUCUCUCUUGAGUGGAUCCUGAGUACGACGGAGCACGUGAAAUUCCGUCGGAAUCUGGGAGGACCAUCUCCUAAGGCUAAAUACUCUCUAGUGACCGAUAGUGAACCAGUACCGUGAGGGAAAGGUGAAAAGCACCCCGGAAGGGGAGUGAAAUAGAACCUGAAACCGUGUGCUUACAAGUAGUCAGAGCCCGUUAAUGGGUGAUGGCGUGCCUUUUGUAGAAUGAACCGGCGAGUUACGAUUUGAUGCAAGGUUAAGCAGUAAAUGUGGAGCCGUAGCGAAAGCGAGUCUGAAUAGGGCGUUUAGUAUUU